CAAGCAGCCAGAUCAAGGACAAGAAGUACUGGUGGAAAAUAGAAAUAUGGCCUGUCUACAGAGAAAUGAGAAGUGACUGCUUCAUGUUCGGAGUAGGCUGCAUGUUUAUUACAUACAAAGCCUUCCUGCAUUAAGAACAAACAAAUCCAGGAAAUGAUCACAAGUUUUAAAUUAGCAAUCAUUGGCUCUGCACAGAUUUAGGAUGAUUCCAGGUGUGGCAUUCACAUUUGGAAACUUGCUGUGAAACCACCACAUUCGGUAAAAGGACCUCUCAAUGCAAAUGAAACAGGCCAUCCUUAGGCUGCAAAAAAAAUAAAAAAUACAUCUAUCAGAGAGAUAGCAGGAACAUUAGUUGUGGCCAAAUCAACAGUUUGGACAUUCUGGGAAAGAAAGAACUCACUGAUAUGCUCUGCAACACAAAAAGGCCUGGACGUCCACAGAAAACUACAGUGGUGGAUGAUCGUAGGAUCCUUUCCAUGGUAAAGAAAAACCCCUUCAAAACAUCCAGCCAAGUGAAGAACACUCUCCAGGAGGUAGGAAUAUCAUUAUCCAUGUCUUCCAUAAAGAGAAGACUUCAUGAGAGCAAAUACAGAGGGUUCACCACAAGGUGCAAACCAUUCAUUAUCCUCAAGAAUAGAAAGGCUAAAUUAGACUGCCAAAAAAACAUCUAAAAAAGUCAACCCAGUUCUGAAACAGCAUGC
ensembl:lncRNA